CACACAACACUGGAAAUGCUCCACUAGACAUUGAGCCAGACAGUGGGGUAGGGCACACUAGAAUACCUACCCAUGCUCUGCUCUUUGCAUUGGUGCAUACCUGGAAAUAUGCAUCAUGAUGUGGAAAAGUGUUCCUAGAUUUCUAUAACACAACUCAUACGUUAUCAUUCCACAGAGGAAUCUUCAAAGUGGUGUCUGUGCCACUGCUUACGUUGCUGUCUGUAGAUGGAACAUCCUUCUUGAGUUAUUCCACAAGAACACCAUCCUCUCCUCUUUCGAGUCCCGCCUGAAGACCCAGUUCUGUCCUAAUGCCUGUGGAGUUAGCC